AUGUAAGGUGAAACAACUAUAUCUAUUUAAUUGUGAAAAGUUGCAAUCUGAUUAUAUCAUCGUGUCUGUUUAUAUGCAAUAUAUAAGAACCUGGAUAACUACCCAGGUUCUUUUUUGA
rnacentral:sRNA from 1 species